UCCGGUGUGGUCUAGUGGCUAGGAUACCUGGCUCUCACCCAGAAGGCCCGGGUUCGAUUCCCGGUACCGGAA